UACGGAGGGUGCGAGCGUUGUUCGGAAUCACUGGGCGUAAAGCGCGUGUAGGCGGCCUGCUAAGUCUGAUGUGAAAGCCCGAGGCUCACCCUCGGAAGUGCAUUGGAAACUGGCAGACUGGAGUCCCGGAGAGGAGGGUGGAAUUCCAAGUGUAGCGGUGAAAUGCGUAGAGAUUUGGAGGAACACCAGUGGCGAAGGCGACUUUCUGGUCUGUAACUGACACUGAGGCGCGAAAGCGUGGGGAGCGAACAGG
rnacentral:rRNA from 1 species